GAUGAACGCUGGCGGCGUGCCUAAUACAUGCAAGUCGAGCGAACGGACGAGAAGCUUGCUUCUCUGAUGUUAGCGGCGGACGGGUGAGUAACACGUGGAUAACCUACCUAUAAGACUGGGAUAACUUCGGGAAACCGGAGCUAAUACCGGAUGAUAUUUUGAACCGCAUGGUUCAAAAGUGAAAGACGGUCUUGCUGUCACUUAUAGAUGGAUCCGUGCUGCACUAGCUAGUUGGUAAGGUAACGGCUUACCAAGGCAACGAUGCAUAGCCGACCUGAGAGGGUGAUCGGCCACACGGGAACUGGGACACGGUCCAGACUCCUACGGGAGGCAGCAGUAGGGAAUCUUCCGCAAUGGGCGAAAGCCUGACGGAGCAACGCCGCGUGAGUGAUGAAGGUCUUCGGAUCGUAAAACUCUGUUAUUAGGGAAGAACAUAUGUGUAAGUAACUGUGCACAUCUUGACGGUACCUAAUCAGAAAGCCACGGCUAACUACGUG
rnacentral:rRNA from 1 species